AGUGAACGCUGGCGGUAGGCCUAACACAUGCAAGUCGAACGGCAGCACAGUAAGAGCUUGCUCUUACGGGUGGCGAGUGGCGGACGGGUGAGGAAUACAUCGGAAUCUACUUUUGCGUGGGGGAUAACGUAGGGAAACGGACGCUAAUACCGCAGACGACCUACGGGUGAAAGCAGGGGAUCUUCGGACCUUGCGCGAGUGAAUGAGCGGAUGUCGGAUUAGCUAGUUGGCGGGGUAAAGGCCCACCAAGGCGACGAUCCGUAGCUGGUCUGAGAGGAUGAUCAGCCACACUGGAACUGAGACACGGUCCAGACUCCUACGGCAGGCAGCAGUGGGGAAUAUUGGACAAUGGGCGCAAGCCUGAUCCAGCCAUACCGCGUGGGUGAAGAAGGCCUUCGGGUUGUAAAGCCCUUUUGUUGGGAAAGAAAAGCAGCAGGUUAAUACCCCGCUGUUCUGACGGUACCCAAAGAAUAAGCACCGGCUAACUUCGUG
rnacentral:rRNA from 1 species